GGUGGAGAUGAAUGGGCCACGCCGGUGCUUCUUGGGCUGGCACGCCUGCGCCGGGGAGCCCAAGCGUUGGAGCGCCGGCGCGCGGGGGAGGAGAGGCCGCCUUUCCAAAGGCUAUGGACAACGUCACCGUCCGGGAAGGCGAGAGCGCCACCCUCAGGUAGGAACGUGGGCUCGCCUUUGGAGGGAGGGAUGGGGUUUGGGAAGCCUGGGAAGCCUGGGAGGGGGUAGAGUGGGGGGCAUGCAUUUGCUGACUGAUUCUGU
rnacentral:lncRNA from 11 species